rnacentral:rRNA from 1 species
UACAACGGAGAGUUUGAUCCUGGCUCAGGAUGAACGCUAGCGGGAGGCCUAACACAUGCAAGUCGAACGGGAUCCCCGGGCAACCGGGGUGAGAGUGGCGCACGGGUGAGUAACGCGUAUGCAACCUACCUGUAACAGAGGGAUAGCCCAUAGAAAUGUGGAUUAAAACCUCAUAGUUCUGAGAAGCCGCAUGGUUUUUCAGAUAAAACUCCGGUGGUUACAGAUGGGCAUGCGUGACAUUAGCUAGUUGGUAAGGUAACGGCUUACCAAGGCUACGAUGUCUAGGGGUUCUGAGAGGAUGAUCCCCCACACUGGUACUGAGACACGGACCAGACUCCUACGGGAGGCAGCAGUGAGGAAUAUUGGUCAAUGGGCGCAAGCCUGAACCAGCCAUCCCGCGUG